AGAGUUUGAUCCUGGCUCAGGAUGAACGCUGGCGGCAUGCCUAAUACAUGCAAGUCGAACGAAGUCUUUAGGAAGCUUGCUUCCAAAGAGACUUAGUGGCGAACGGGUGAGUAACACGUAGGUAACCUGCCCAUGUGCCCGGGAUAACUGCUGGAAACGGUAGCUAAAACCGGAUAGGUAUGAGGGAGGCAUCUUCCUCAUAUUAAAGCACCUUCGGGUGUGAACAUGGAUGGACCUGCGGCGCAUUAGCUGGUUGGUGAGGUAACGGCCCACCAAGGCGAUGAUGCGUAGCCGACCUGAGAGGGUGAACGGCCACAUUGGGACUGAGACACGGCCCAAACUCCUACGGGAGGCAGCAGUAGGGAAUUUUCGUCAAUGGGGGGAACCCUGAACGAGCAAUGCCGCGUGUGUGAAGAAGGUCUUCGGAUCGUAAAGCACUGUUGUAAGUGAAGAAUGCCACAUAGAGGAAAUGCUAUGUGGGUGACGGUAGCUUACCAGAAAGCCACGGCUAACUACGUGCCAGCAGCCGCGGUAAUACGUAGGUGGCAAGCGUUAUCCGGAAUUAUUGGGCGUAAAGCGCGCGUAGGCGGUUUUUUAAGUCUGAUGUGAAAGCCCACGGCUCAACCGUGGAGGGUCAUUGGAAACUGGAAAACUUGAGUGCAGAAGAGGAAAGUGGAAUUCCAUGUGUAGCGGUGAAAUGCGCAGAGAUAUGGAGGAACACCAGUGGCGAAGGCGACUUUCUGGUCUGUAACUGACGCUGAUGUGCGAAAGCGUGGGGAUCAAACAGGAUUAGAUACCCUGGUAGUCCACGCCGUAAACGAUGAGUGCUAAGUG
rnacentral:rRNA from 1 species